ACACACAUUUCCAGUCUAGGCCUUAUGGGGCCCUUCACACACACACAUUUCCAGUCUAGGCCCCCUCACACACACACAUUUCCAGUCUAGGCCUUAUGGGGCCCUCACACACACACAUUUCUAGUCUAGGCCUUAUGGGGCCCUCACGUAUGGAUCUCACUCUUAGUGAUUUUACAUCAUUGGGACAACACCUGUCAAUAUUUAAACUAGUGUAAUUGCAGGUGUAAUUCAACACUGAUCAAGCUGCUGCAUGUUCAGAAUCAGUAUUUUGGAUGUACUGCAUUGCAACAUCUUAUUUGUUGCUGUGACACUUGCUGUUACGUCUAGAAAAGACGAGUGUAUGCUCUUAUAUUUCAGCUGUGCUAGAUGAGAACCUGUUUUCACGUGAGCUAACUUUUGUUAACUUUGGUUUCUUGUUGUUUUUUGUCUGUAUUUCCAGGUAGCCAAAAGCAGUCAGACUUCUGUUACAACAAAGAUGCUGUCGUCACGCAGGUAAAGGAGUAAUGUCGACUGUCAUCACAAUCUAUUCUAGUCUUGCCCUCAUGCUGCAUGUCGAGCGCUCACACACACACGUUUCUAGUCUAGGCCUUAUGGGGCCCUCACGUAUGGAUCUCAGUCUUAGUGAUUUUACAUCAUUGGGACAACACCUGUCAAUAUUUAAACUAGUGUAAUUGCAGGUGUAAUUCAACACUGAUCAAGCUGCUGCAUGUUCAGAAUGAGUAUUUUGGAUGUACUGCAUUGCAACAUCUUAUUUGUUGCUGUGACACUUGCUGUUACGUCUAGAAAAGACAAGUGCAUGCUCUUAUAUUUCAGCUGUGCUAGAUGAGAAACUGUUUUCACAUGAGCUAACUUUUGUUAACUUUGGUUUCUGUUGUUUUUUGUCUGAUUUCCAGGAGCCAAAGCAGGUAUUUACCAUCAAAGGGUUUUCUCUAGUGAACUAUACCGAAAGUGAUGAGACGGAUGAGGAGUAUAUUAAAGACAACCCUCCCAGUCCACACUGUGAUGUUGUUCGAAAGAAGACGAGGAAUGGAAACAUUCAGGUGAUUGGAGUAGCUGAUUUUUCUGAUCCUCUGUUUGACUCAAAUGAGAGUAUAGUAGAUGAAACUGAUGAGGAUUCUAGUCUGCAGUCAGACAAUGAAGUUGUUACCUAAAAAAUUUUUAGGUAUGUCUCUGACACUCUGGGUACAUUUCUACCAAAAUACUUUCCCCUAGUACUAAGACUUUCCAUAAGAAUGUCUGACCUGCCUCU
rnacentral:lncRNA from 1 species